AAAUGCCGCGUCAUGAUAUUUGGGCCAUUGGUUGGUUAGACAACAGUCACCUUAUCUUUAAAAUGAAGAAGUUGGAACGCACAAAAAAAUGCCCUGUUGUGUGGCCUAUAAUGUGAAAACCGGAGAAGCAUCCAUUUUUGGUGGUAAAGAUGGAAUUGAUGGCUUGAUGCCCAUAUUUGUCGAAUUCAUACAAACUCUCUUGUUUCCUGGUAUGCAGCUUUCUUUGACAGAUUCAAUCAAUUUUUUAUGAAGCUGAGAUUUUUUUUUUUUUUUUAAUUGUUUGCGAUUGACUUUUUAAGCUCUAUUGUUCCUUAACUUUUUAGAGUUUUCAGUUAUAUAAUGCUAUUUAAUUGAAAGGGAUGACCGUUUUACCAUGACAGGUCGAUAUACACUCGAUCAUUUUCUUUAUUUAGAAGUUCAAAAAAGGUGUAUGUUUAUCAGAAGUCAACUUGAGAAAUUUUACAGUCGGAAGGUCAAUUUUCACAAUUAAAAAUGCUCUCGCCACUUGGUUCUAUAUUAGGCUUGCUAGAUUGAACUAGAACUAGAGCCUGUUUGAUGUAUAUUUUUUGAGAACAGAUUGUGAAAAGUGAUUUUCUAGGAGAACGUGUGAUUAAAAGGUAGGAUAAAGUCUUGGUCCAAUUGCAAAAUUAUUUAUUUGGGAAAAAGCGUAAUUGAAAUUGAGUUUGGAGAAAGAUGAGUUUUAAAAAAUCUCUAUCAACAGGGCCUUGUCUUUCAUAUUGCACUAUCUGGAAGACAAAUGAAAUCAUAAAGCUGUUUCACAUAACUUUCUUUGACAUUCUUUUUUCUUCUGUUCCUUACGAGCAAUGUGUCAUGAGUUUCUGUCCUAAUCUGAUCUUUCGGAACCUUGCAGGUAAUUCUCGCUGAAGAUCCAAAAAUGACAACACAGGAAUGGCAAUUUACAGUACACUCUAAGAAUUUUUGUUAGGCAUUCCUGUACUGUGCUCGUCUGUCUUCUUUCCAUUUACCCCUUCCUUGCCAUUUGGCAUAGUACAAGAUGUAAAAUGGUUUGAGUCUCGAGUUAAGGAUAUUCUUUUUGUUUAUCGAGAAGAAAACUUUUUGAAUUCUCGGUACUGACUGGCUAACUCAUUGAUGACUUUGGUUUUCUUCAAUGUUAAUGAAUGGAAAUUCUAUCUGUUCUGAUUUUCUGUUCUUUGUUGUCUGGUUAUCCUAGUUUCUUGUACUUUUG
rnacentral:lncRNA from 1 species